AUUACGGGAGGCAGCAGUAGGGAAUCUUCCGCAAUGGACGAAAGUCUGACGGAGCAACGCCGCGUGAGUGAUGAAGGCUUUCGGGUCGUAAAACUCUGUUGUUAGGGAAGAACAAGUGCUAGUUGAAUAAGCUGGCACCUUGACGGUACCUAACCAGAAAGCCACGGCUAACUACGUGCCAGCAGCCGCGGUAAU
rnacentral:rRNA from 1 species